AAUCUCUCCUGACAAGGACCCUUUGCAUCUAAUGCUAAAGCAAAUUAAGAAUUGUAAUUUUACGUAUUUUAAUAAUGAAACGUCAAAAGCAGAACUGAAGGUCAGCAGACUCAUUCUCAGUUUUUCAAACAUACAUAUAGUAUUUUUCAGUAUGCAGCAGUGUGUAUUUUAUGUAUUAUUAGACUCUGACAUGAAAAAUGUCCCUGUCGUCGCUGGGAACCACUGGAUAGUCACUAAGGGCUGUUGGAAGCAUCUUGACCUCAAGGUAGGGUAUUAUGAUGAAUAUAUUAUCUACCCAUUCAUUAUUAUCAAGCUGCUUCUUACUGAUAAGGAACACAGCAUCUCAAGACCUAUCAAGGUAGGCCUAUACCCUUGACAAAACACACCUCCACUGCAGGGAACAGAUACACUCAAGCCCAAUGUAGAUGCACCAAUUCACCUACUCAACUGUCUUUGGGAGAAGGGAAGAAACCAGAGUACUUGGACCAAUCUCAGGCAGACUUAGGGAGGACAAGCAAACCGCAUACGGAACACCAGAAUUGAACCCAGGACACAAAUGCUGUAAAGUAGCAGAACUUGGGCACACUACCACGCUACACUAAAGAUUUCAAAUCAAGGUGCAACUUCCUGACACAGGUUUUGGCGAUUAUCCCAGUACAUCAGACACAAAUCUACAUUCCAUUGGCAAAAAACUUGAGUCAGAACUAAAUCUGUAUCAGCUACAUAAUCUUUGAGAACUAAUGAAAUCUGGCAACACAUUAAAGGUCUAUCAUUUUAAACUUGUGCAGCCAUCGUACACAAUAUGCUGACUGAAG
rnacentral:lncRNA from 1 species